GUAACUUCAUUGCUGAUAGGAAAAAGAAAAAAAAAGGGGGUUAUUUAAUAUUUGAAAGAUUUCCUUUACCAAACACACCACAGGCGCAUUCUAGAUUGCACAGUGGAAACGCAGAAAGACAAAAAUCACAACAUGGAAAACUACGACGCGAAGUUUCUAUGCACCUACGGAGGCGAGAUCAAACGCCGCCUUAACGACACCAAGAUCUCCUACGUCGGUGGCCUCAACAAGAUCCUCUACGUUAACCGUGGAAUCGACUUCACCGCCAUGCUCGCCGAACUUUCCGCCCUCUUUGACGCCGCCGGCAACAUCUGCUUCAAGUACCUACUCCCCAACGAUGAACUCGAUGCCCUCAUCUCCGUCACCGGUGACAACGACCUGAACAACAUGAUGCUCGAGUAUGAUAAUCUCUACAGAGAUUCCCCUAAAACCGCUCGCAUAAGGCUCUUCGUCUUCCCUGGCAACCAUUUCAAUUUGGAUCGCAAUCCCGCUUCCACCGAAACCCUAAAAACCAAGAAGACAGUCAAACAAAACUCCAAAGUCAACGGCGACAGUUUAGUUGUUGUUCUUCCGCCUCCGCCAGUUGAUGUUAAAACAGAGCGGAUUGAUUGUUCUGAUCCGACCCGAUUUAAUAGCCUGUUAUCUGCUGCAAAGUAUGAUGUGUUUCUGAGCUUCAGAGGCGAAGACACACGCAACGGUUUCACUUCCCAUCUUUGUAAAGCUCUGUCGCGAAAGCAGGUAAAGACCUUCGUGGAUUUUACUGUUCAGAAGGGAAAUGAGAUCUCUGCUUCGAUCCACCAAGCAAUUGAAGAGUCGUUCGUAUCGGUGGUUGUGUUCUCGGAGAACUAUGCUUCUUCAAAGUGGUGCUUGGAAGAGCUUGUGAAAAUAAUGGAGUGCAGUAAAGAAAAUGGACUGGUUGCUGUUCCUGUGUUCUAUAAAAUAGAUCGAUCACAUGUGCGGAAGCAGCUUGGAAGUUACAGUGAAGCAUUAAAGAAGUUACAAAAUAAUAGCAUGAAGAAGGUUCAGAAAUGGAGGGAAGCUCUCACUGAAGCAGCAAAUUUAUCUGGGUGGGUCUCCAGCUCCUGCAGGGAUGAGUCUGAGCUCAUUCAAAAGAUUGUGAAAGACGUUUUGCAGAAGCUGAUUGAUCACAACCCACCGAAUGAUAUUAAAAGUUUUGUAGGUAUUGACGGAAAUCUUAAAGCUAUAGAUUCGUCGCUAAGAGAAGUCCUUGAAGUCCAAACAAGAAUGAUUGGAAUUUGGGGCAUGGGUGGGAUAGGAAAGACCACUCUAGCAAAACUUGUAUUCGAGAAAUACUCUUAUCAGUAUGAAGGUUCCUGCUUCUUGGAAGAUGUUAGAGAAAGAUCAGAAAAAUAUGGACAUUCGCUAUAUGAAUUACGCAAUGAACUUUACUCAGAGUUGUUGCAGGAAAAUAAUUGCAAAGACAGCACAAGAAAAUCCACCAAUGCUAAGGAAAGGCUCCGCAGUCAAAGAAAUUUCAUAGUUCUUGAUGACGUGAGUUGUUCAAAGCAAUUAAAAUACCUUGUUGGGGAGCAUCAAUGUUAUGGUCCAGGUAGUAAGAUCAUUGUCACAGCUACAGACAAGAGUGUAUUUGCUCAAUGGGAAGAUGAAGAAAUAUAUGAGAUGAAGGUGUUAAAUUCUGAGGACUCCCUUACAUUGUUUAGCUUGAAUGCAUUCAAUCAAGACCAUCCGAAAAUGGGAUAUGAAAAUCUAUCAUGGGAAGCAGUUAAAUAUUGUGAAGGUUUACCAUUAGCUUUGAAAGUGUUGGGUUCUUUUCUUCGUUCCAAGAGUGAAACUGAAUGGGAUAGUGCAUUGCGAAACAUCAAGAAGAUUCCUGACGCACCAAUUCAAAAUGUAUUAAGGUUGACCUAUGAAGGAUUAAAUUAUGAGGAGAGAGAAAUUUUUCUAGACAUUGCAUGUUUUUUUAAGGGAUUCCUUAAAGAACACGUAGUUAGUCUGUUAGAAAGUUGUGGCUUCGAUGCAGCUAAUGGCAUGAGGUCCCUUCAUGAUAAGUCUCUAAUAGCUAUAUCUGAUAAUUCUCUGAGGAUGCAUGACUUGAUCCAUGAAAUGGCUUUGGAAAUUGUUCGCAAAGAAUCUAUCAAAAAUCCUGAAUAUCGUAGCCGUUUGUGGGACUAUAAUGAUAUUAGGGAUGUUUUGGGAAACAACAAGGGAACUGAUGCAAUUGAAAGCAUAAUGUUAGAUAUGUCUCAUAUAGAUGAUCUACAGUUGAGUGCUGACACAUUCAAAAAGAUGUCUAGAUUAAGAUUGCUCAAAUUGUAUGACUCGUCAGAGAAGCAUGGUAAAUUAAGUAAUCUGCAGCUUCCUAUAGGGUUGAAGCCAUUAAGGUACUUUGAAUGGCAUGCGUACCCUUUGCCGACUCUGCCAUCAAACUUUUGUCCCGAGAAGCUUGUUACCCUCCGUAUUCAGAACAGUCAACUUGCAAGACUAUGGGAUGGAAAGCAGAAUCUUGUGAAUUUAGAGGAAGUAGAUCUAACUGGGUGCCAAAAGUUGGUUGAACUCCCAGAUCUCUCUAAAGCAAAAAAUCUUAAAAGUGUACAGCUGUCCAACUGUAGAAGUUUGGCCCAUGUGCAUCCAUCUAUUUUAUCACUUGGCAAGCUUGAGCUUUUGGAUCUAUUGAAUUGCAUUAAGCUUGAAAUGCUCGGAAACAAGAAGCAUUCAAGAUCUCUUAAGCACCUGUGCGUUGCUGGCUGCUCAAAUUUGUUAGAAUUUGCUCUAUCUUCAGAAGAAAUAGAAUACUUGGAUUUAAGCCACACUGGCAUCAAAGUAUUGCACCCAUCUAUUGGGCGUUUCACCAAAGUGAAAGAGAUAUCUCUUUGUGGGAUAAGACUUGAGAAUCUUCCAGACGGGUGGUCUCGCUUGAAAUCUCUUGAGAAACUUUCGCUCUUUAAAUGUGGAAGGGUGGUUUCCAAGCAGAAAUUACAUGAUAUAUUUGAUGGCUUGCAAUCAUUGCAAAACCUGUCUCUGGUGAACUGUGAUAGUCUAUUUGAACUCCCUGGAAAUGUCGGCCGCUUAUCAUCGUUACAAAAGUUACAGUUGGAUGGAAGCCAUGUGGAGACUUUGCCUGGGAGCAUCAAGCAUCUUCCAAAUCUGAAAACACUCUCAUUAAUAGGUUGUAAGAUGCUUCAAUAUUGGCCAGAGCUUCCUCCAUCCAUUCGACAUUUGAAGGCCCUAAACUGCACAUUGCUGCAAAAAGUAGCAUUUGGUUUAUUUAGUUAUGAGCUACAAGAAGAAAAACGCGUAAGUAUUUCGUUGCAGAAUUGUGUGAAUUUGGAUGUGGAGAACUGUAUUUAUUCAUUCCUUCAACAUGUAAGAAAACAGGCAUAUGAAUGUGAAUUUAGGAGGAGAGGAGUAGGAAGAGAAAACAUUGUAGUUUGGAGAAGUGACUUCUUUAAAAUUUGUUACCCGGACUCCAGAGUACCAGAGUGGUUCACAUAUCGGGCAGUGGGGUCUUCUAUUACUUUUGAAGUUGCUCCUCCUUCCAGUUACUAUUUUGGUUCACUUCUCUGCAUUGUUCUCUCUUCGCACAGUUUGGAUUUCGAGCUUGAUAUUAAAUGCAGAUGCUACUUGGAAGAUGGAAAAAUGCACAAGUAUUCGCUUGGCAUAUUAUUUUUAAGUCACGUUCCAGUGGAAGGGCAUUCAGAUCAUGUUUAUAUGACGUAUAACUUCAACAGAAUCUUCGAUGUGAUCAAGCUGGACCAAUUGAAUAAUAAGAUUGCCUCCUCCGGACAUAAACCAAAACUCACCUUUGAAUUCUUUGUUAGCAGUGGCAUGGCUCAGGGAAAAAAAGAUUUAAAUUUGUUGAUCAAAGAGUGUGGUGUCUAUCCGUUAAAUGACUCCAAUAAAUUUGUUGAUCAAAGAGUUGGAAGUUCCAAUUAGCAAUGACUGUACUCUCCCGCAAAGAUAAAGGAGUUCGGCUAAAUGUUACAAUAGCAAGGUUUCUGUCACAAAUGAGAUUGUGCACAUUGCACAAUGAAUCAAUUGGGGUGACUGAAGCGGCUGAGGAGGAGCACCAAGAUUAAGUAUUCAAGAGGAUGGUUUGUAGCUUUUCUCUGCCUCGCACAGCUGCACACAUGGGUAAAUGAUGGAAAGAGAAGUCAACGAAGAAUGGUGUCUAAUUCAGGAUGGAAAUUCUAUUCUCUGAAUUGCACAAGUCAGGUCAAUUUAUUUUCAAAAUUUAGUCAGUACAACACUACCAUAAAGAGUCUACAGGCUGCUCUGCUGCUCUCUUCUCUGGGUUCUCUUCUCAAAAGGUUGAAGCAGGAAGCUCUUAGCCUCAUCCAGAUGUCCUCCUGUUCUUGCGUUUUUCACUUGCCUAGACCCACAAGCCACAACCACACCCAAGAAUUGGCAGCACCACUAGUGCGGCCCGGAGUUAUUGCUGGAGAAUACAACUGAUGGUGUCUCUGGUACUCCCCCUAGAUUGUGUGGUCACCUUAGGGAAGACAACCGAUCACAGCACCACCCAAAACUGCAGCAUUGCUGGCUCUUCAUUGGCCCUUAGAAUGGCAUCAAGGUGUAGCUGCGACGGAAAAGGAGUUUUUCUUUGAAUCUUUGUGUGAUUAGAAGUUAAAACAUAUAAUUUCUUUUUGAAAUAAUAAGUUCAAUUGUUUUUCUUAUUCUUAUGAUCUAAUUAUCCUUCGUUCUGCAAUUAUGACAUUUUAGAUUGAAAAUAUUUUGUUUGGUGAUUCUUGCA